rnacentral:rRNA from 1 species
UGAGUAAUGUCUGGGAAACUGCCCGAUGGAGGGGGAUAACUACUGGAAACGGUAGCUAAUACCGCACAACGUCGCAAGACCAAAGAGGGGGACCUUCUGGCCUCUUGCCAUCGGAUGUGCCCAGAUGGGAUUAGCUAGUAGGUGGGGUAACGGCUCACCUAGGCGACGAUCCCUAGCUGGUCUGAGAGGAUGACCAGCCACACUGGAACUGAGACACGGUCCAGACUCCUACGGGAGGCAGCAGUGGGGAAUAUUGCACAAUGGGCGCAAGCCUGAUGCAGCCAUGCCGCGUGUAUGAAGAAGGCCUUCGGGUUGUAAAGUACUUUCAGCGGGGAGGAAAGCGAUACGGUUAAUAACCGUGUCGAUUGACGUUACCCGCAGAAGAAGCACCGGCUAACUCCGUGCCAGCAGCCGC